UUUGAGGGAGAUGGGGUAGGUUGUGGUUGUGGCUUUGGCACCGAAGGCGUUGGGUUCUCGCUUGGAGGAUUUGAAGGAGUUGAAGGUUUUGGCUCUGGCUUUGGAACAUAAGGUGUUGGUGUUUGAUGUUGAUCACUUGGUGGGGAAUGUGAGUGAGAUUGGCUACCUUUAGUACAUUGUGCCUUGCUACAAUCAACAGGUUUGCUUAUAACAACAUUGCAAUCAUUUGCUGUCUUUUGUUUUGGUCUGUCAGGUACACAAUUAUAACUAUCAUCCAACAAAAUGUCUUUUCCAGGAGGCACACAACCUUCUUCCUCACCAUUGAAAUAGUUAUUUGAGAAUGUAAAGUUACCCAAAUUAGACAAACUACAGAUAUUUUUUGGAACAAAACCUGUUAGUUUGUUAUGUGCAAUAGACAAAAUUUCCACUUUCUUGAGUCCCUUACAUGUCUUUGGCAACAUACCGACAAACAAAUUUUGACUCACGUCAAAAACAGUGACUUGUUCAAGCUUUCCCAUUUCUGAAGGCAAACAACCG
rnacentral:lncRNA from 1 species